AGGGAGGUGAUCUCCUGCUGAGCGUGUGUUGAGGAAGACUCCCUCCGCUGGUCAUGCUGUGACUUGUUGCCCUGUGAUGGAUUGGUGACCUGUCCAGGGAGUACUCUGCAUCUCACCCAAUGACUGGAGAUGGACACCAGCCCCCGUGCAACCCUGCAAGGACAAAACCACCAUGGUCCAAAUGGAAAUAUCUCAACUACAGUUGGGUGGGUUGGUCUCUGUAAAACAGCUGUGCAUGCCUGCAGCCAUCAUAUCUAACACUACACUGCAGAUCUGGCCUUUCAUCCAUAAGUGCAUACGGAUUCGCAUCAUGGAGGACACAGUCCAAGCAUGGAAAACUGACCUAGUGCCACAAUCUUCAUUUCAUCAUGAAAUUUCAUGUAUUUGUCAACCAUGGAAGGAAAUUUUACUUCUUGAUACCAGAGUUUCACAGCAAACGUUAUUCUCUUUUUGAAUGAAAAUACCUUCUAGCAUAUGUGUGAAUGUAUCUGGAUGUUUGUGUUUGUGAUGCAACAAAAAGAGCUGGGCUUUAGUAGGUUCUCAGAUUCAAUUGAUUGUGACAGGUAUGUGGCUAAUUACUGCAGCCUUGGGUCAGCUGUCCUCACCUUUCAGAAGCCUGCUGUGAAAUUGGAUUAAUUUAACUCGCCUUAAUACACGCAAUGAGCAGUAUAAUUCAUACUAAGGUAAA